GUCAUGAUGGUGAACAAGUGUGCAAAGUUUCAAAGCCAUAUGUCAAUGGACUUUGAAAAUAUUUGAACUAUUACAAAAACUUUAACAUAAGUGGUUACGCCGACGCCGACGCUCGGGUGACUGCAAUAGCUCUACUUAUUCUUAUCGAAUAGUCGAGCUAAAAAUAGGCAUAAUUCUGUCAAAAUGCUUGAUAGAGUUACCUCCUCCUGUCUACAGGUUGGGGUCACGAUGGUGAACAAGUGUGCAAUGUUUCAAAGCCAUAUGUCAAUGGACUUUUGAAAAUAUUUGAGGUAUUACAAAAACUUUAACGUAAAUUCUAAGUCGAAAAAGGGGCAUAAUUCUGUCAAAAUGCUUGAUAGUGUUACCUCCUCCUGUUUACAGGUUGGGGUCAUGAUGGUCAACAAGUACAUGCAAAGUUUUAAAGCCAUAUGUCAAUGGACUAUGAAAAUAUUUGAGGUAUUACAAAAACUUUUACAUAAAUUCUAAGUCGAAAAAG